rnacentral:ncRNA from 1 species
AAGUACCCCAUGCAUUCGGCCACAGGAGAGCUCUUCAAUUGUGGGUACUUCCAUCGCAGCAAGGCAUUCGUCUGCGCCUCUUCUUUACGGCGAAUCUAUUUUCCGUUAUCAGCUCCGAUCAGGAUCAGUUCAGGCCACCAAGUUGGGACUUAGACACGAGUGGGAAGCUCCUUGGUGAAUCAUAAUAACGUAGUGAAUCGCAUGGCCUUGCGCCGGCGAUGGUUCAUUCAAAUUUCCGCCCUAUCAACUUUCGAUGGUAGGAUAGUAGCCUACCAUGGUGGCAACGGGUAACGGGGAAUUAGGGUUCGAUUCCGGAGAGGGAGCCUGAGAAAGGCUACCACAUCCAAGGAAGGCAGCAGGCGCGCAAAUUACCCAAUCCCGAUACGGGGAGGGAG